GGACAGAGAGCCAGAUGGUGCAGUGAGAAUAUAUUAUCUCUGUGAAGCCACAUCUUUCCUUUUGGCAGUACUAUGACUACUCAGGACCGCUGAGGGAUGAAGUUGAAUCAGUGCAUCUCCACCUUCCACACCUAGAAGAAAGAGUAUAGAAGUAAGUAUUCCCUGCCUCCCCAACCCCCGUCAAUCAUCUCCGUCCGUUAGGGCUUACCAUGAGCUCAACACAA
rnacentral:lncRNA from 1 species